rnacentral:tRNA from 1 species
GGGGUCGUGGCCUAGUCCGGUAUGGCGACGGGCUCCAGCGGUCUUGGCGUAUGAUGAACAAUCGGGUCUGCUGAUCGAUUGAGAUGAUGACCCGUUGGAGCGCUGAUGCUGAUGUAUCCGCUCAUAUGCUUGUCGGAGAGACCCGUCGAUCGUGAGUUCAAAUCUCACCGACCCCA